AUACGGAGGAUCCGAGCGUUAUCCGGAUUUAUUGGGUUUAAAGGGUGCGCAGGCGGCCAUUUAAGUCAGCGGUUAAAUCGUGGGGCUCAACCCCAUUCUGCCGUUGAUACUGGGUGGCUUGAUUGCGGUCGAGGUUGGCGGAAUUCGUUGUGUAGCGGUGAAAUGCAUAGAUAUGACGAAGAACACCGAUUGCGUAGGCAGCUGACCAGACCGCAAAUGACGCUCAUGCAUGAAAGUGCGGGGAUCGAACAGGAUUAGAUACCCUGGUAGUCCGCACAGUAAACGAUGAAUACUUGUUUUCGGCGAUAUAAUGUCGGAGGCAAAGCGAAAGCGAUAAGUAUUCCACCUGGGGAGUACGCCGGCAACGGUGAAACUCAAAUGAAUUGACGGGG
rnacentral:rRNA from 1 species